AACGUAGGAGGCAAGCGUUAUCCGGAGUUACUGGGCGUAAAGAGUGCGUAGGCGGACCUGUAAGUGGGUGGUGAAAGCGCUCGGCUAAACCGGGCGAGGUUCAUUCAGACUGCAGGUCUAGAGGCGGAUAGAGGGGUGCGGAAUUCCGGGUGUAGCGGUGAAAUGUGUAGAGAUCCGGAGGAACACCAGUGGUGCAAACGGCGCCCUGGGUCCGAACUGACGCUGAAGCACGAAAGCGUGGGGAGCAAACAGG
rnacentral:rRNA from 1 species